rnacentral:tRNA from 1 species
GCCAGUGUGGUAUAGUGGUUUGAGUGUUGGACUAGGACCCUGGAGACCAGGCUUUGAAUCCCUGCUUGGACA